UCGAGCCCACUCUCCCUUCCUCCCCGCCGCCGCCAGCCAUCCUCCCCGUCCCGCGCCUUCUCCUUCCCAUCGCCCCUCCCUGCCGCAGAAGCAGCAGUCCCCGCCCGUCGCCCAAGAGCCGAAGCCCGCCACCAAGCAGCCGCCCCCUCUCCUCUUCCUCCCACCUCACAUAUCUCUCUCCAUCCAAACCCUAGCCCCGCACCGGCCUUCCUGCCCUGCCGCCGUCAUCUCCUUCGCCCGGUUGGCCGCCCCGCACCGCACGAGGUGGGAUGCGAGGAGGCAGGCGAGUGGGUGCAGGGGAGCAGGCAGGAAGGAGCAGCGGAGAUGCGCGGAAGAGCAGGAUAGCUACACGACAGAGCUGAACGGGACCUCAGGCGGAAGUAAAUCUGAGAAUGGGUUUUGUUUAACCGGGUGUUUUGGGAUUAGGCGGAACUGCGUGGUUGUGCCGGGAGCGCGGGCGGAUAACUAGAGACGACGAGGAGGGCUUCUACGGCGUACUUCAGCUCCAGUGAGGCUCCUAUCCCCACCGCGCAGCUCUGUAGCUCGCUCAGGCACCUGAACACCGACGCCAUAGAGGAUGCUGCUCCACCCCUGCUCCGGUCCGUGCCCCCGACGCCAUGGAGGACGCCCCUCCACCCCUGCUCUAGCCUGAAGGUACUCCACAACUGCUCCAUCUCAGUUUUGGUCAAAACUGAAUGUUGAAUGGUCCUGCUGCAUUAAGCUGCUGUUUCACAAUUUAAAACUGAGUUUUUAAAACUCUGUUAUGUACUAUGGUCUCUUUGUUUUGUAAAUCUGUUGUAAUCAUUUAUGUUGUGGAGUAAGUUUUAAACAAAUUCAGUAGAGUUCUGAACUAUUAAGUUCUGACCAUUGCAUCAGUAAGUUUUAAACAAAUUCAGUAGUUUUAAACAAAUUACUAGAUCAUUGAGUUCUGAACCAUUCCAAAUUCUUAAUUUUUUGAUCGACAACGACGGCUCCUCCUCUUCCAAGUCUAGCCCAUCGACGACGACGGCUCUAAAAUGAACAUUGUUAUCUGUGAAUGGAGAGACAAAAACUGUAAUGCAGGAGAUAACUCAUGGUGCCUGCAACUAUCUCCUAAAACCCGUUAGCAUCGAGGAGCUUAGGAAUAUCUGGCAGCAUGUUGUUUGGUCCGUUGAACUACAUAGAAAAUUCAUCUCUGCUGUCAACCAUCUUGGAAUUGACAAAGGUGUGCCGAAAAGGAUACUUGACCUCAUGAAUGUUGAAAAACUCACUAGGGAAAAUGUUGCAAGUCGUCUACAGGCAAGC